AAAGUCGUAACAAGGUUUCCGUAGGUGAACCUGCGGAAGGAUCAUUAGAGAUUGGCUCCGGCCGUUUUCAUAUCCACACACACCGUGAAUCGUUCCCAUGUCCCUCGGGGCGCGGGACUACCAACCAAACAUUGUCCAAAGAACGUGAAAUGUCGUAAACAAAACAAAACUUUCAACAACGGAUCUCUUGGCUCUC
rnacentral:misc_RNA from 1 species